AUCAGUCACCGAGGAGGGGAAAUGUCGACCUCCGGUGAGUGACCAGACCGAAGAAGGAGGAGGUGUUCGGUGGUUUUCUAUCCAUCGUUGAGAAGGGGAGAAACACAGAGGCAGAAGAGCUGCCGUCGAUGGUCGCAGAAAAUCGAUGGGGGAAAAAUUGUUCUCUUGUUGUUUGACAGGAAAAGAAGAAGGAAAAAUAAAGGGGAAGCUGUUGUUCUUUUUUGUUGCAGGUGAGCAAAAGAACAAGAACAAAAUUGUUCUUGGCUGGAAACGAAGAAUAAGGGGAAGAAUAACAACAGCAAGGGAAAAGGGCUGCUAUCCUCUUGAUUUCACAUGUAAACAACACUCCAGUGGUGUGUUCUUUUAUAUUCAAUCUUAGUCAAUACUUUAACUUCAAUUUGGUUGUUAAUUUACGCAAUGUCAAAAACUCCCAUUAUGUAUGUACUUGAGAAGAGAAAGAGUGUGGGAGAGUAGAAGGAAACGUGAUUGGUGAUUGUGUGUACCUUGAAUAAGAUUUAGAAGUUAUAAGAAAAUGAUUUUGAUGAGA